GAGGAUGCGAGCGUUAUCCGGAUUUAUUGGGUUUAAAGGGUGCGUAGGCGGACUGUUAAGUCAGCGGUAAAAUUGAGAGGCUCAACCUCUUCGAGCCGUUGAAACUGGCGGUCUUGAGUGGGCGAGAAGUAUGCGGAAUGCGAGGUGUAGCGGUGAAAUGCAUAGAUAUCACGCAGAACUCCGAUUGCGAAGGCAGCAUACCGGCGCCCAACUGACGCUGAGGCACGAAAGCGUGGGGAUCGAA
rnacentral:rRNA from 1 species